rnacentral:lncRNA from 1 species
GACAAGUGGGGGACAACUUCACAGGAAGCUGAGAGAAGAUGAACAGCUGCUGUCGCUGAGUCCGUGACAACAUCCAUCCUUGCUGUUGCCAUGUGAACCCAUAGUGCGCCCCUUACCCUGGAUUUGACCUGGAAGUUAUGGUGUCUGCCUCGCACCCGAACCUACGGGCUCGUCCUGCCGACAGAUGUUCUUGAUGCAUCCUGCUAGCCUGAUUUUGGACUUGUAAUGUCUCGCUUUCUGAGUCCAUGGAUCUCUUCCCUGCUAGCUCAGUUUUGGGAUCUUCCCCUCCUCUUGUCCCUCCAGCUGAGGGGAAGUAACAGUUGGACUGUCACCAGCCCCAGGAGUACCAGUGGUGUCCCUGCAUCGUGCUCACUCUGAGUAAAUGGUCCGUUCUUCAAAUCCUCCUUGCGAGAUCCUAAUUUGAGUGUGCCAUCUGUUUCCUGCUAGAACUCAAGCACUGUGCUUUUCUGCACCACACCAUUCUGGAGCUACAAAUGGGGUCACGUGACUAUUUC